rnacentral:rRNA from 1 species
UACGAAGGGUGCAAGCGUUACUCGGAAUUACUGGGCGUAAAGCGUGCGUAGGUGGUUUGUUAAGUCUGCUGUGAAAGCCCCGGGCUCAACCUGGGAAUGGCAGUGGAUACUGGCAAGCUAGAGUGCGGUAGAGGGUAGUGGAAUUCCCGGUGUAGCGGUGAAAUGCGCAGAUAUCGGGAAGAACACCCGUGGCGAAGGCGGUUCUCUGGGACGGUACUGACGCUGAGACGCGAAAGCGUGGGGAGCGAACAGG